rnacentral:rRNA from 1 species
ACGGAGGGGGCAAGCGUUGUCCGGAAUUAUUGGGCGUAAAGAGCUCGUAGGCGGUUUGUCGCGUCGGCUGUGAAAACCCGAGGCUCAACCUCGGGCCUGCAGUCGAUACGGGCAAACUAGAGUGUUGCAGGGGAGACUGGAAUUCCUGGUGUAGCGGUGAAAUGCGCAGAUAUCAGGAGGAACACCGGUGGCGAAGGCGGGUCUCUGGGCAACAACUGACGCUGAGGAGCGAAAGCGUGGGGAGCGAACAGGAUUAGAAACCCUCGUAGUCC